AAAACAUUGACCCUCCAGUCUCAUGCAGAAAACGGACUCUCCGGUGCUUGAACAGGAAAAUGGUUAAGAUGACUGUCCCUGACCGUACAGCCUCUGAGCAACUGUUCUCCGAACCCCAUUCUUGUGGCACCUCCAAGUGAUCAUUUGAUUACAGUGGAUCCCCACUACUUGUGAUACUCCCUACGGAGAACAGGUCUUCACUGUCCAGUUUUACCAACUAGCUACUGUCACAUGGAUCACAUGACAGAGGAUGCCCGGUGUCUUCAGGGAAUAAGACACUUCCUCCCAUGGCUGAAUUCUCCAUGCACUUAGUUCAAAAUCUGAGUAAUCCCAUUAAGCAUAGAAAGGAACCAAAUGGCAUUCAGGGGUAAAAUCAACCUUGUGUAUCUCUAGUUUACUUCUUCUUCCUCUACUUCUUAGACAGCCCCUCAGGAUUGAGGAAUACUGCUUCUUCUCCAGUUUUGUGGGUUCUGAGGUGGCUAGUGAGGCCAUUUUGGGAACUGCAGACUCUUCCAUAUGUGAAGCAGGAGGUGGCUGCCAGGGUGAUUAGGUGAGUUGUCUGUGAGGGUGGCACUCCUUCUGCUGGAAAUGCAGGGCUUCUGUGUGCUCCCUUGACAUUCUCAAAACCAUCCCAAAUGCUCAUUCUCCACUUUGACUGGUCGUGGGUCAGAGGAUCCCAGAGUCAGUGAGGAUAUUGCAUUUCUUCAAGGAAGCUUUGAACCCUCCCCAACACUGAGGACAUCUUCAAGAGGCAGUGCCCUAACCAUCUGGGACAUGCCCUCUUCUCGUUACUGCCAUCAGGGAGGAGGUGCAGGAGCCUGAAAACCCACAUUCAACGAU